rnacentral:rRNA from 1 species
GCAUGUGGUUUAAUUCGAAGCAACGCGAAGAACCUUACCAGGUCUUGACAUCCCUGACAACCCGAGAGAUCGGGCGUUCCCCUUCGGGGGGACAGGGUGACAGGUGCUGCAUGGCUGUCGUCAGCUCGUGUCGUGAGAUGUUGGGUUAAGUCCCGCAACGAGCGCAACCCUUAUCCCUAGUUGCCAUCAGGUAAAGCUGGGAACUCUGGGGAGACUGCCGGUGAUAAACCGGAGGAAGGCGGGGAUGACGUCAAGUCCUCAUGGCCCUUACAUCCCGGGCUACACACGUGCUACAAUGGCAGGUACAGAGGGCUGCGAAGCCGCGAGGUGGAGCGAAUCCCAGAAAACCUGUCUCAGUCCGGAUUGAAGUCUGCAACUCGACUUCAUGAAGGCGGAAUCGCUAGUAACCGCGAAUCAGCAGGUCGCGGUGAAUACGUUCCCGGGCCUU